GUGUUAUCUGGAAUAUGAUACCAUAUCUGUUAAUCAUUACAUUAUCAUCCAUUUGUUUGCUGUGUUUGAGCUUUUGAUCUUGCCGUUUGAAUGGAAGAUUUCCGUUUUGAACUGUCCCCGGUGUUUUUUGUUUUUAUUUCUUUUCUUUUUUUUAAAAUCCUCAACCAAGUUUUUGCAUUUAUAUCGGCGAAAAGCAAUGGUUAAACAUCGCUGUUUUAUUAUUAUUGAUGUCGGAAGAAACCCCAUCGUAAG
rnacentral:lncRNA from 1 species